rnacentral:snRNA from 1 species
AUAGAAAGGGCUGACGCGGGUCAAAGUGUCGUAUCUGUUCUUCUCAGCUUAAUAUAUGAUACGGCUUGUAUUUGGACCCAAGAUAUUAAACCUAUUUUUGCAAGUUGGCGGAGUGCUUGAAGCCUGCUUCACCUCUGCCGCGAGACGGCCCGGUAUUGCACUAUCUAUGGGAUCGGCUCGCGGUUU